rnacentral:tRNA from 1 species
AAUGAAGUGGCCGAGAUUAGGCGAUAAAUUGUAAAUUUAUUCACAAGAAUAAUCUUCUUCAUUA